GCGUAUACAUCUACCUUUUACAGAGGGAUAGCCCAGAGAAAUUUGGAUUAAUACCUCAUAGUAUUUUUGAAUGGCAUGAUUUGAUUAUUAAAGUUCCAACGGUAAAAGAUGAGUAUGCGUCCCAUUAGCUAGAUGGUAAGGUAACGGCUUACCCAUGGCUACGAUGGGUAGGGGUCCUGAGAGGGAGAUCCCCCACACUGGUACUGAGACACGGACCAGACUCCUACGGGAGGCAGCAGUGAGGAAUAUUGGACAAUGGGCGCAAGCCUGAUCCAGCCAUGCCGCGUGCAGGAAGAAGGUCCUAUGGAUUGUAAACUGCUUUUAUACAGGAAGAAACACCUCUACGUGUAGAGACUUGACGGUACUGUAUGAAUAAGGACCGGCUAACUCCGUGCCAGCAGCCGCGGUAAUACGGAGGGUCCAAGCGUUAUCCGGAAUCAUUGGGUUUAAAGGGUCCGUAGGCGGCCAAAUAAGUCAGUGGUGAAAGCCCAUCGCUCAACGAUGGAACGGCCAUUGAUACUGUUUGGCUUGAAUUAUUAGGAAGUAACUAGAAUAUGUAGUGUAGCGGUGAAAUGCUUAGAGAUUACAUGGAAUACCAAUUGCGAAGGCAGGUUACUACUAAUAUAUUGACGCUGAUGGACGAAAGCGUGGGGAGCGAACAGGAUUAGAUACCCUGGUAGUCCACGCCGUAAACGAUGGAUACUAGCUGUUCGGAGCAAUCUGAGUGGCUAAGCGAAAGUGAUAAGUAUCCCACCUGGGGGAGUACGUUCGCAAGAAUGAAACUCAAAGGAAUUGACGGGGGCCCGCACAAGCGGUGGAGCAUGUGGUUUAAUUCGAUGAUACGCGAGGAACCUUACCAAGGCUUAAAUGGGAAACGACAGGUUUGGAAACAGACUUUUCUUCGGACGUUUUUCAAGGUGCUGCAUGGUUGUCGUCAGCUCGUGCCGUGAGGUGUCAGGUUAAGUCCUAUAACGAGCGCAACCCCUGUCGUUAGUUGCCAGCGAGUCAUGUCGGGAACUCUAACGAGACUGCCAGUGUAAACUGUGAGGAAGGUGGGGAUGACGUCAAAUCAUCACGGCCCUUACGCCUUGGGCCACACACGUGCUACAAUG
rnacentral:rRNA from 1 species